GGCUGGGUAGCUCAGUCGGUAGAGCAGCGGACUGAAAAUCCGUGUGUCGCCGGUUCGAUUCCGGCCCCAGCCA
rnacentral:tRNA from 1 species